UACGGGGGGGGCAAGCGUUGUUCGGAAUUACUGGGCGUAAAGGGCUCGUAGGCGGCCAACUAAGUCAGACGUGAAAUCCCUCGGCUUAACCGGGGAACUGCGUCUGAUACUGGAUGGCUCGAGUUUGGGAGAGGGAUGCGGAAUUCCUGGUGUAGCGGUGAAAUGCGUAGAGAUCAGGAGGAACACCCAUGGCGAAGGCAGCUCUCUGGUCGACAUCUGACGCUGAGACGCGAAAGCGUGGGGAGCGAACGGG
rnacentral:rRNA from 1 species